GGCCCGCCAAGUUAGCUCAGUUGGUUAGAGCGUCGUGCUAAUAACGCGAAGCGUCGGGUUCGAUCCCCUCACGGGCCG